GGUUUAACUAAAAUUGGGGUUCUUAAGUUCCUCCAACAUUUGAGGGAUGAAUUCAAGAAGGCAACUAAGAAGGGUUCGACUAGGAACCUCUCAAAUCUCAACUCAACCUGUUUACAAGAUCAACUAGUCCCAGUUAUUCGUCAUUUAAUUGCUGUGUUGGAAAAUGUCUCUAGGACCGGUGCCGCUGAGCAGCAGCUAGGAGAGACUCCUCCCUAUCAUGCCGCUGAGCUCUCUCCUUCACCUAGUAACCACGGACCUGGCACAUCCGAAGCUGGGGCUUCGACAAAAGCCCCUUUAUUGGGCAAGUCUAGCAAACAAGAGAAUAAGAAGAUGAAGGAACAUGUAAUUGGUGUCAGGGAUAUUGAGUUGGAGGAACACCGUAAAUCCACAGAAAGAGGAGCUAGGGUUGAUUUGGGAGCUUUGGACGCUAACAACCAGGGU
rnacentral:lncRNA from 1 species